rnacentral:rRNA from 1 species
AGAGUUUGAUCCUGGCUCAGGACGAACGCUGGCGGCACGCUUAACACAUGCAAGUCGAACGAGAGAAGAGGAGCUUGCUUUUCUGAUCUAGUGGCGGACGGGUGAGUAACACGUGAGCAAUCUGCCUUUCAGAGGGGGAUACCGAUUGGAAACGAUCGUUAAUACCGCAUAACAUAAUUGAACCGCAUGAUUUGAUUAUCAAAGAUUUAUCGCUGAAAGAUGAGCUCGCGUCUGAUUAGCUAGUUGGUAAGGUAACGGCUUACCAAGGCGACGAUCAGUAGCCGGACUGAGAGGUUGAUCGGCCACAUUGGGACUGAGACACGGCCCAGACUCCUACGGGAGGCAGCAGUGGGGAAUAUUGCACAAUGGAGGAAACUCUGAUGCAGCGAUGCCGCGUGAGGGAAGAAGGUUUUAGGAUUGUAAACCUCUGUCUUCAGGGACGAAAAAAGACGGUACCUGAGGAGGAAGCUCCGGCUAACUACGUGCCAGCAGCCGCGGUAAUACGUAGGGAGCGAGCGUUGUCCGGAAUUACUGGGUGUAAAGGGAGCGUAGGCGGGAUCGCAAGUCAGAUGUGAAAACUAUGGGCUUAACCCAUAAACUGCAUUUGAAACUGUGGUUCUUGAGUGAAGUAGAGGUAAGCGGAAUUCCUAGUGUAGCGGUGAAAUGCGUAGAUAUUAGGAGGAACAUCAGUGGCGAAGGCGGCUUACUGGGCUUUAACUGACGCUGAGGCUCGAAAGCGUGGGGAGCAAACAGGAUUAGAUACCCUGGUAGUCCACGCCGUAAACGAUGAUUACUAGGUGUGGGGGGACUGACCCCUUCCGCGCCGCAGCAAACGCAAUAAGUAAUCCACCUGGGGAGUACGACCGCAAGGUUGAAACUCAAAGGAAUUGACGGGGGCCCGCACAAGCAGUGGAGUAUGUGGAUUAAUUCGAAGCAACGCGAAGAACCUUACCAGGUCUUGACAUCGUAUGCAUAGCUCAGAGAUGAGUGAAAUCUCUUCGGAGACAUAUAGACAGGUGGUGCAUGGUUGUCGUCAGCUCGUGUCGUGAGAUGUUGGGUUAAGUCCCGCAACGAGCGCAACCCUUACUGUUAGUUGCUACGCAAGAGCACUCUAGCAGGACUGCCGUUGACAAAACGGAGGAAGGUGGGGAUGACGUCAAAUCAUCAUGCCCCUUAUGACCUGGGCCUCACACGUACUACAAUGGCUGUCAACAGAGGGAAGCAAAGCCGCGAGGUGGAGCGAACCCCUAAAAGCAGUCUUAGUUCGGAUUGUAGGCUGCAACCCGCCUACAUGAAGUCGGAAUUGCUAGUAAUCGCAGAUCAGCAUGCUGCGGUGAAUACGUUCCCGGGCCUUGUACACACCGCCCGUCACGCCAUGGGAGUCGGUAACACCCGAAGCCUGUAGUCUAACCGCAAGGAGGACGCAGUCGAAGGUGGGAUUGAUGACUGGGGUGAAGUCGUAACAAGGUA